UACGUAGGGACCAAGCGUUGUUCGGAUUUACUGGGCGUAAAGGGCGCGUAGGCGGCGUGACAAGUCACUUGUGAAAUCUCCGGGCUUAACUCGGAACGGUCAAGUGAUACUGUUGUGCUAGAGUACAGAAGGGGCAAUCGGAAUUCUUGGUGUAGCGGUGAAAUGCGUAGAUAUCAAGAGGAACACCCGUGGCGAAGGCGGCUCUCUGGGACGGUACUGACGCUGAGACGCGAAAGCGUGGGGAGCGAACAGG
rnacentral:rRNA from 1 species